rnacentral:lncRNA from 1 species
GCCUCCACAAAUUUCUUGAGCCGGUCUCUCUUGUCACCCAAGACUUUGAUUUUUUUCUUUCAUGUGUUUGAUGUAACUCACUGCCUGAUGCAUUUGAUCCGAUGUAGACCGCUUUCCCUAAACACAUUUUUAAACAUACAAUAAUUAGGUAUCAACCAGAUUAAUCAAUCGUUUGGGAUAGAGGUAAGGUUUACCUCCCCAGAUCCUACUCUAUGAGUAGGAUUUUCCUUUACAAGGUUGUUUGUUUGAACUAAUCAAACACACCUAGCUGGUUAUCAAGUUAGGAAGUACCCUAAACAACUUGAAGCGACCAAAAGAGCUUACCUUAACAUAAUUAAGGGGAAGUAGACCCCUAAGUGUAGCAUAAAGCUCAGCCAUAUCACGCCUUCGUUGUCUUUCCUAUGAGCCAAUUUUCUUUGUGUUUAGAUGAAGGUGACUGAACUCCGUGCAGUUUCCGAGCUUUGGUGAGUGGAAUAUUUGUAGUGGCCUCCAUGAUCAUGAAGGUUGAGUACAAGAUCUUGUUGAUUUCUUGCCGGUUGUUGGAAGGAAAUUAAAAAGAAGGAAUCUGGUGAAAUACCAGGUCAUCACUAUGCUUGAAAGAGAACAUAAUAAAUAAUAUAUGAUGAUAUCUAGGUUAAGCCCACCAGGAUUUGAUCAACCACUAUAUAUAUUUGGGGGAUCAUACGAGUAUAAAAUACAUGUUAAAAUAGUGAUUGUAGAGAUAUGUCUAUCUGUGAUAUCUUCAACCUAACAAGAUUUCUUGACAUCUUUCCUGUUAAUUAUUAAGUAUUAAGUAGUAUUUUCUUUUUUGUAAACAAUUUUAAAUUCAUGUGUACCAUCUCCGGAAUAUUUUCUUUUAUGUUCAUACUAGGUUAUAACCCCGUGUGUUAUACGGGUUAAGUAAAUAAAAAAUCAAAUAGUUAAUAACGAAGAUUUAAGAAUUAUGAAACGAUAUUUAUAAGACGCUUUUCUGAUAUCCAAAUAAAAUUUUGUGUCAUGUAUGAUCAAAACUUGUGAUGUUUGUCAAGUUUAUAAACAUGAAAGCAUUUGAACCAUCGAUUAGAAGACAGACUGUAUCAUCGACUUCUCACGAGUUUUAACAGUCAUGUAAACAUACAUUUAAUAACCCAAGUUUUAUUUAAAUAAUAGUGGUCUUAAUUUAUUUGUUCUAAAAAAAUGUUGAAAUGUCCAGAUUAGACAUAUAGC